rnacentral:SRP_RNA from 2 species
GCCGGGCGUGGUGAUGCACACCUGUAAUCCCAGCUACUUGGGAGGCUGAGGCAGGAGAAUCGCUUGAACCCGGGAGGCGAGGUUGCAGUGAGCCGAGAUCGCACCACUGCCCUCCGGCCUGGGUGACACAGCAAGACUCUGCCUCAA